rnacentral:rRNA from 1 species
GGCUCAGAACGAACGCUGGUCCCGUGCCUAAUACAUGCAAGUCGAACGAGGUGCUUUUGUAGCAAUACGAGAGUAUCCUAGUGGCGAACGGGUGAGUAACGCGUUGGUGACCUACCCCAAAGUGUGGGAUAACAGUCCGAAAGGAUUGCUAAUACCGCAUGUGGUCAUUGGAUUUAGAAACUGAUGACUAAAGGAGCAAUUCGCUUUGGGAGGGACCUGCGUCCCAUCAGCUAGUUGGCGAGGUAACGGCUCACCAAGGCGACGACGGGUAGGGGACCUGAGAGGGUGGCCCCCCACAAUGGAACUGAAACACGGUCCAUACUCCUACGGGAGGCAGCAGUGGG